rnacentral:rRNA from 1 species
UACGGAGGGUGCGAGCGUUGUCCGGAAUCACUGGGCGUAAAGGGCGCGUAGGCGGCGCGGAUAGUCGGCGGUGAAAGCCCGGAGCUCAACUCCGGGUCGGCCGUCGAUACUUCCGGGCUUGAGCACUGUAGAGGCAGAUGGAAUUCCGGGUGUAGCGGUGAAAUGCGCAGAUAUCAGGAGGAACACCGGUGGCGAAGGCGGGUCUCUGGGCAGUAACUGACGCUGAGGAGCGAAAGCGUGGGGAGCGAACAGG